rnacentral:tRNA from 1 species
GGGAGUGGAUGGGGAACUGGUGUCCCCCGCGGGCUUCAAACCCGUUGUUGCGUGCUAACCCCACGCUAGGUGGGUUCGAUUCCCACACAUUCCCGCCA